rnacentral:misc_RNA from 1 species
GAGAAGAACGUAGUGAAAUGCGAUAAGUAAUGUGAAUUGCAGAAUUCAGUGAAUCAUCGAAUCUUUGAACGCAUCUUGCGCUCCUUGGUAUUCUGAGGAGCAUGCCUGUUUGAGUGUCAUUAAAUUCUCAACUACACUGACUUUGAAUUGGUGUGGCUUGGAUUUGGGGGGAAAAUUGUUGUGGGCUUUUUGUAUAGUCUGCUCCCCUGAAAUUGAUUAGCGGUACCUUUGUGGAACUGUCUACAGGUGUGAUAAUUAUCUACAUCUUAGACAUCUGCUGGAAUGCUGCUUUCUAAACCUUACUUGUAUUGACAAUCUUGACCUCAAAUCAGGUAGGACUACCCGCUGAACUUAAGCAUAUCAAUAAGCGGAGGA